GAGGUACUCCCUCCGUACGGAAUUACUUGUCUCAAAAAUGGAUGUAUCUAGAUACAUCCAUUUUUGAGACAAGUAAUUCCGUACGGAGGGAGUAGGAG
rnacentral:pre_miRNA from 1 species